rnacentral:rRNA from 1 species
CCUACGGGAGGCAGCAGUGGGGAAUAUUGCACAAUGGGGGAAACCCUGAUGCAGCGACGCCGCGUGAGCGAGGAAGUAUUUCGGUAUGUUAAGCUCUAUCAGCAGGGACGAAAAAAGACGGUACCUGACUAAGAAGCUCCGGCUAACUACGUGCCAGCAGCCGCGGUAAUACGUAGGGGGCAAGCGUUAUCCGGAAUUACUGGGUGGAAAGGGAGCGUAGACGGCAAGGCAAGCCAGAUGUGAAAGGGCAGGGCUCAACCCUGUACAUGCUUUUGGAACUGUGGUGCUAGAGUGCAGGAGAGGUAAGUGGAAUUCCUAGUGUAGCGGUGAAAUGCGUAGAUAUUAGGAGGAACACCAGUGGCGAAGGCGGCUUACUGGACUGUAACUGACGUUGAGGCUCGAAAGCGUGGGGAGCAAACAGGAUUAGAUACCCGUGUAGUC